CUCAGUUGCCAUGAAAAAAAAUUAGGAUUCUUUUGCAAGUUUGUUCCUUGAUAUGAUAAACUUUUUAGCUGAAUUUUAUGAGAGAGGUUGGAUGUCGUUGGAGUUGGGUGCUUCAUUGAUAGCCAUAAUAUCUAAGAGUUGAAGGUGUUGAGUGCUUGUGGGACUUCGGGGCUAUGAGUCUGAUCGGGGGAUCCUACAAGAUCUUAGCAAAACUCUUGGCUUAAAGAUUUUGUGUGGUGUUAGAGAAUGUCAUAUCAGAAUCCGUAGGUGUGUGUGUGUGUGUGUUUUUGGUGGGAGGCAAAUCUCGAAUAGUGCACUAAUUACUCACAAAUAUCUCAACUCCAAAACAAGAAAAGGAAAACGGUUAUCAUUUGUAAGUUGGAUGUUGGGAAAGCGUACGAUCAUGUGAAAUGGGACUUUCUUUAUUAUCUGCUGGAGAGAUUGGGUUGUGAGCAAAAAAUGGAGUUGAUCCAAGAAUGUGUUUGAUUGGCUAAGUUCUUAGUACCAAUCGAUGGGUCUCCUAAAGAGGUUUUUUUUUUUUUUCCCCCAGGCGUUUAGAGGUCUUAGUCAAGGCGUGCUCUGUCCAUUCCCGUUCAUGGUGGUUGUUGAAAUCGUAAGAUGUUGGAUAGAGGUCAAUCUGCUGAGUUGAUCAAUGGCUUUAGGGUGGAGAACACUGAUUUCUAGAUCUCUCAUCUUUAGUUUGUCGACGACACAAUUCUUGUUUGUGAUGCAGACAUGAAAUUGUGGACGACUUGAGGAAAAUAUCGAAAUACUUCGAAGUGUUGUUCUUGUUCGGAUUAAAGGUUAAUGUUCUCAAGCUUGAAUUGUUGGCUAUUUGCACAUCCAAAGAAGUGGCAGUAAGGUUGGUGGUGGUGUUUGGGUGUUGAGCAAGAUGGCUUUCUUUGUCGUAUCUAGGGCUCCCUCUUGUGCAUCGACAAGCCCACUAAAUGGGAUAAGGUAAUUGUAAGGUUUGAAAGGAAAUUGUCUAGGUGGAAGAUUUGACACCUCUUUGGAUGUCAGGCUUACGUUGAUUGAAGCAGCCAUGUCGAACCUGACUCUCUAUUUUAUGUCUCUUUUCAGGCGUUCGUCGUCCAUGCUAGAUAGGUUGGAAAGGUUGAGAUGAGAUUUUCUGUAGCAAUGAGCAUAAGUGAAGUAAAAGUUUCAUCUCUUAAGAUGUGAAGAGGUGUGCAAGCUGUAGCGAGAAGGGGGAGUAUGAAUAAGGAAAUUUGAGCAGAUGAAUCUUGUGUUGUUAGGAAAAUGUCUGCAGAGGUUUGGGGGUAGAAGAAGGAGGCUGUGGAGAGAGGUGCUUGCUGGUAAAUAUGGAAUUCCAAAAGGGUGUUGAUGAGUGAAGGAUUUGUCUUUAUAUACGGUCUCUUGGAUGUGAAGGUGGUUUACAAAUUGGCGAAUAAGUUUUAGGAGGAGGUUCACUUUUCUUGUGAUGACAGGAAGAGGAUUCGGUUUUGGGAGCACUUAUGGAUUGGUUAGAGCACACUCUAGUUAGAGUUUCCGAGAUUAGCUAGGCUAGCUCCAGAUAGGGAGGUUUCCAUAGAUCGGUGCUUCUCUUUCUCCGACAAUGUAGUUGUUUGGUCCCCUCCUUAUCGAAGGAAUUUAAUGGAUGAGAAUGUGGAGGAAUUCAUUUGGCUCUUAGAAAGAGGCUUUUUGGGUUGGGCAAGAGGGAUUCGAUGGUGCAGACUAAGGUUAAGUCGGGUUGGUUCUUUGUCCGAUCCUUCAACAGGAUCGGAUAGAGAACCAAACCAAUUUGCAACCUACCUUUGGGUGAGAGUAGUGGUCAUACGUCCCAUGUCUGGUUCUAUGGGGCUCCUCCCAAGGUUGCGGCUUUUGCUUGGCUAGUGGUAAGGAAUAUGGUGCUUACAAUUGACAAUCUGCAAAAAGGUCAAUGACGAUUCCCAGACGCGGAGUUAGUGCAUUUGUACAUCCAUUGUGUGUUUGCUCAAGUGUCAAAGAGAUUUCCUGCCUUCUUUAAAAGGUCAUGGGUGAUGUUGGGAUCCUUUAACGGCCUCUUCCUUGUUUGGCAUGGGGGAGGGGUUGGGGAAAAAAGAAAGAGUGGUGCUGACGUUAGUUUUGUUGGUUGUAAUUCGGGCUCUCUUUGCAACAAGAGGAAUAAUUGGUGUUUCGGAAAUAGAAGCGGGACGGUAGUUGAUGUCCUUAAGAGGGUGAAGUUAGAUCUAAUAGAUUGGGUUUAUUGUAUUAAAGCCUUCAACCAUAGUGAUGAGUCCUUUAGUUGUUUUAUUUCGCCUUCCCUUUGGCAAUCUCUUUAAUAAAAUUUUUGUUUCCUUUCAUAAAAAAUAAUAAUAAAAAAAGCAUCCAAAGAGAAACAAAAAUCUUAGUUGAUGGGGAUGUUUUGACUGUCCUUAAGAAGUUGGUCGCCUACUUUUUUUGUCAUCUCUUGACAAUUUCCUGUUUCUUUUCUCUAAAAAAAUUUCUUAAGUGUUAUCAUAGUUUUUGGUUUGGUGAUAUUUCUAUAAAUUAUUGGACAUUUCUUUUAACUAUCAUCUGUUGUAUUUUCCAGGGGAGGGCAUAACCCAUCGUAUAUGUAUCGGCUCAUUGCGGACUAUUACUCUGCUGAUGAUCUUGUUGUGCAGCAGAGAUCUUCUGAAAAAUGAAUUUAGUACACCCAGAUCCAGUAUACGUUGAGUGCAGCCCGUGGCCAAAUAUUGUUGGAGUGGAGAGGUUUUUUUUUUUUUUUUUGGAAGAUGAGGAGAGUGUAGAGUGUAGAGGCUGAAGACGAGCCAAGACUUGUGAGCUUAUGCUAAAGAAGUGAAGGGAAAAGUUGCCUUGGGCUGGAAAAGGGGGGAAAAAGAGAAGCCAGUAAAAGAGAGUAAUUGCACGUGGAUGAAAGCACAGCGUUGCAUCAUUUUAGAAACUUAGUUGGUUUCUGUAGUUGAAUGUCGUCACUUGGGUGAGAAAAUUUGAAAACUGAAUCUGCCCAUGUUUACUUCUUAUCUGUAACCUUCCGUUGUGAAUGAAGUGAUUGAAUAUUGAGUUUUGGGGAAAAGGAAAUGGGGAUUGUAUAUGCUAACAUUAUUCCAUGAAGAAUGCAAUACUGUUUUUUUGUUCCA